GACGAGGGGUCCAAGCGUUGUUCGGAAUUAUUGGGCGUAAAGCGGGCGUAGGUGGAUCUAUAAGUCAGGAGUGAAAGCCCCGAGCUUAACUUGGGAAGUGCUUUUGAUACUGUAGAUCUUGAAUGUGGGAGAGGAUCGUGGAAUUCCAGGUGUAGUGGUGAAAUACGUAGAUAUUCGGAGGAACACCAGUGGCGAAGGCGGCUCACUGGUCCAUUACUGACGCUGAGGUGCGAAAGCGUGGGGAGCAAACAGG
rnacentral:rRNA from 1 species